CCUACGGGAGGCAGCAGUGGGGAAAUACUGGACAAUGGGCGAAAGCCUGAUCCAGCAAUGCCGCGUGUGUGACGAAGGCCUUAGGGUUGUAAAGCACUUUCACCCGCGAGGAUGAUGACGGUAGCGGGAGAAGAAGCCCCGGCUAACUCCGUGCCAGCAGCCGCGGUAAUACGGAGGGGGCGAGCGUUGUUCGGAAUUACUGGGCGUAAAGGGCGUGUAGGCGGCCUUGUCAGUCAGGCGUGAAAUCCCCGGGGCUCCAACCUGGGACGUGCGGCUUGAUACUGCAGGGGCUUGAGAGCGAGAGAGGUAAGCGGAAUUCCCAGUGUAGAGGUGAAAUUCGUAGAUAUUGGGAAGAACACCAGUGGCGAAGGCGGCUUACUGGGCUCGUUUCUGACGCUGAGGCGCGAAAGCGUGGGGAGCGAACGAUUAGAUACCCUGGUAGUCCACGCCGUAAACGAUGUGUGCCAACGUCGGGGGUUAGCCUUCGGUGUCGCAGCUAACGCAUUAAGCACACCGUCCCGGGGAGUACGGCCGCAGGUUAAAACUCAAAUGAAUUGACGG
rnacentral:rRNA from 1 species